rnacentral:rRNA from 1 species
UCAGCAGCCGCGGUAAAACGUAGGAGGCGAGCGUUAUCCGGAUUCACUGGGCGUAAAGCGCGUGCAGGUGGCGCGGUAAGUUGGGCGUGAAAUCUCCCGGCUCAACUGGGAGAGGUCGUUCAAUACUACCGUGCUUGAGAGCAGAAGAGGAAGAUGGAAUUCCCGGUGUAGUGGUGAAAUGCGUAGAUAUCGGGAGGAACACCAGUGGCGAAGGCGAUCUUCUGGUCUGUUUCUGACACUCAGACGCGACAGCUAGGGUAGUAAACGGGAUUAGAGACCCCGGUAAUCCUAGCCGUAAACGAUGUGAACUUGGCGUUGGUGGGUUAAACUCCAUCAGUGCCGUAGCAAACGCGAUAAGUUCACCGCCUGGGGACUACGGCCGCAAGGUUAAAACUUAAAGGAAUUGGCGGGGGAU